rnacentral:rRNA from 1 species
UACGGAGGGUGCGAGCGUUAAUCGGAAUCACUGGGCGUAAAGCGCGCGUAGGCGGCUUUUCAAGUCAGGGGUGAAAUCCCACGGCCCAACCGUGGAACUGCCUUUGAAACUGUAGAGCUUGAGUGUCGGAGAGGGUGGCGGAAUUCCAGGUGUAGGAGUGAAAUCCGUAGAUAUCUGGAGGAACACCGGUGGCGAAGGCGGCUUCCUGGUCUGCAACUGACACUGAGGCGCGAAAGCGUGGGGAGCAAACAGG